rnacentral:ncRNA from 1 species
UAAUUUGAGAGUUUGAUCCUGGCUCAGGAUGAACGCUGGCGGCGUGCUUAACACAUGCAAGUCGAGCGAGAAAGUUGUAACGGAUCCUUCGGGUGAAGUUAUAACUGGACAGCGGCGGACGGGUGAGUAACGCGUGGGAAACCUGCCUUAUACAAGGGGAUAGCCUCGGGAAACCGGGAUUAAUACCCUAUAAAACUCUAGUAGCGCAUGUUACAUGAGUCAAAGCUCCGGCGGUAUAAGAUGGUCCCGCGUCCCAUUAGCUAGUUGGUGAGGUAACGGCUCACCAAGGCGACGAUGGGUAGCCGGCCUGAGAGGGUGAACGGCCACACUGGAACUGAGACACGGUCCAGACUCCUACGGGAGGCAGCAGUGGGGAAUAUUGCACAAUGGGGGAAACCCUGAUGCAGCGACGCCGCGUGAGCGAAGAAGGUCUUCGGAUCGUAAAGCUCUGUCCUAAAGGAAGAUAAUGACGGUACUUUAGGAGGAAGCCCCGGCUAACUACGUGCCAGCAGCCGCGGUAAUACGUAGGGGGCGAGCGUUAUCCGGAAUUAUUGGGCGUAAAGGGUGCGUAGGCGGCCAUGUAAGUCAGGCGUUAAAGGCAUCGGCUUAACCGAUGUAAGCGUUUGAAACUGUGUGGCUUGAGUACAGGAGAGGAAAGCGGAAUUCCUAGUGUAGCGGUGAAAUGCGUAGAUAUUAGGAGGAACACCAGUGGCGAAGGCGGCUUUCUGGACUGUAACUGACGCUGAGGCACGAAAGCGUGGGUAGCGAACAGGAUUAGAUACCCUGGUAGUCCACGCCGUAAACGAUGAGUGCUAGGUGUUGGGGGUCGAACCUCAGUGCCGAAGUUAACACAUUAAGCACUCC